GACGUAGGGGGCGAGCGUUGUCCGGAUUUAUUGGGCGUAAAGCGCGCGCAGGCGGUUCGGAUAGUCGGAUGUGAAAAUCCGGGGCUCAACCCCGGACGUGCACCCGAUACUCCCGGACUGGAGGCAGGCAGGGGAGAGCGGAAUUCCCGGUGUAGCGGUGGAAUGCGUAGAGAUCCGGAAGAACACCGGUGGCGAAGGCGGCCUGCUGGGCAGUAGCUGACACUGAGGCGCGACAGCGUGGGGGAGCAAACAGG
rnacentral:rRNA from 1 species